AAAUUGAAGAGUUUGAUCAUGGCUCAGAUUGAACGCUGGCGGCAGGCCUAACACAUGCAAGUCGAACGGUAGCACAGAGAGCUUGCUCUCGGGUGACGAGUGGCGGACGGGUGAGUAAUGUCUGGGAAACUGCCUGAUGGAGGGGGAUAACUACUGGAAACGGUGGCUAAUACCGCAUAACGUCGCAAGACCAAAGAGGGGGACCUUCGGGCCUCUUGCCAUCAGAUGUGCCCAGAUGGGAUUAGCUAGUUGGUGAGGUAACGGCUCACCAAGGCGACGAUCCCUAGCUGGUCUGAGAGGAUGACCAGCCACACUGGAACUGAGACACGGUCCAGACUCCUACGGGAGGCAGCAGUGGGGAAUAUUGCACAAUGGGCGCAAGCCUGAUGCAGCCAUGCCGCGUGUAUGAAGAAGGCCUUCGGGUUGUAAAGUACUUUCAGCGGGGAGGAAGGUGUUGUGGUUAAUAACCACAGCAAUUGACGUUACCCGCAGAAGAAGCACCGGCUAACUCCGUGCCAGCAGCCGCGGUAAUACGGAGGGUGCAAGCGUUAAUCGGAAUUACUGGGCGUAAAGCGCACGCAGGC
rnacentral:rRNA from 1 species